UGGGGGAUAUUGCACAAUGGGCGAAAGCCUGAUGCAGCGACGCCGCGUGGGGGAUGAAGGCCUUCGGGUUGUAAACUUCUUUUGCUCUGAACAAGGCGCACCAUGGGGUGUGUUGAGUGUAGGGGUUGAUUAGCGCCGGCUAACUACGUGCCAGCAGCCGCGGUAAUACGUAGGGCGCGAGCGUUGUCCGGAAUUAUUGGGCGUAAAGGGCUUGUAGGUGGCUGGUUGCGUCUGUCGUGAAAGCUCAUGGCUUAACUGUGGGUUUGCGGUGGGUACGGGCUGGCUUGAGUGCAGUAGGGGAGGCUGGAAUUCCUGGUGUAGCGGUGGAAUGCGCAGAUAUCAGGAGGAAUAACGGUGGCGAAGACGGGUCUCUGGGCUGUUACUGACACUGAGGAGCGAAAGCAUGGGGAGCGAACAGG
rnacentral:rRNA from 1 species